UCGGGCAUGGUGUACGGUACACCGCCUCCUCUCCUAGACGGGCUUGGAUGUUCGGCGAGGCAGCCCGGGGUUCGACUCCCCGUGUCCGAC